GUCAGCGGCGGACGGGUGAGUAACACGUGGGUAACCUGCCUGUAAGACUGGGAUAACUCCGGGAAACCGGGGCUAAUACCGGAUGCUUGAUUGAACCGCAUGGUUCAAUCAUAAAAGGUGGCUUUUAGCUACCACUUACAGAUGGACCCGCGGCGCAUUAGCUAGUUGGUGAGGUAACGGCUCACCAAGGCGACGAUGCGUAGCCGACCUGAGAGGGUGAUCGGCCACACUGGGACUGAGACACGGCCCAGACUCCUACGGGAGGCAGCAGUAGGGAAUCUUCCGCAAUGGACGAAAGUCUGACGGAGCAACGCCGCGUGAGUGAUGAAGGUUUUCGGAUCGUAAAACUCUGUUGUUAGGGAAGAACAAGUACCGUUCGAAUAGGGCGGCACCUUGACGGUACCUAACCAGAAAGCCACGGCUAACUACGUGCCAGCAGCCGCGGUAAUACGUAGGUGGCAAGCGUUGUCCGGAAUUAUUGGGCGUAAAGCGCGCGCAGGCGGUUUCUUAAGUCUGAUGUGAAAGCCCCCGGCUCAACCGGGGAGGGUCAUUGGAAACUGGGGAACUUGAGUGCAGAAGAGGAGAGUGGAAUUCCACGUGUAGCGGUGAAAUGCGUAGAGAUGUGGAGGAACACCAGUGGCGAAGGCGACUCUCUGGUCUGUAACUGACGCUGAGGCGCGAAAGCGUGGGGGAGCGAACAGGAUUAGAUACCCUGGUAGUCCACGCCGUAAACGAUGAGUGCUAAGUGUUAGAGGGUUUCCGCCCUUUAGUGCUGCAGCAAACGCAUUAAGCACUCCGCCUGGGGAGUACGGUCGCAAGACUGAAACUCAAAGGAAUUUGA
rnacentral:rRNA from 1 species